rnacentral:rRNA from 1 species
CCGGCCGCUGCGAGCUCGAUUCAUCUGGUCUCCGGGGGCUGGCGAAAAUAUAUAACGCAGGAGGUUGCGGUGGGGGCGGAUAGAGCGAGAGAGAAGAUCGGAUUCGAUUUGGAUUUCUAGGCCAAGGGGCCAUGGUGCAGCUCCGCAGCUCGCUCAGCAUGACCCGGGCGCGCGCCCGCGGCGACUCGGACGACGCCGACGACCGCGGCUGGAACCAGCUCCACGUCGCCGCCCGCAAGGGCAACCUCAAGGAGGUGAGACGUCUCCUGAAUGAAGGGAUGGAUGUCAAUGCACCCGCAUGGGGACCAAAGUCUCCUGGCGCUACUCCGCUGCACCUUGCUGCUCAGGGCGGGCAUGUGAAAAUCAUGGAUGAACUACUGGAGCGCGGUGCAAAUAUUGAUGCCCGAACAAAAGGAGCUUGUGGCUGGACUCCCCUGCACAUUGCUGCCAAGGAAAGAAACAAGAGGGUGGUCAGGUUCCUUGUCGAGAACGGCGCAUUCCUGCCCCCUGACCUGAACGACCACAGGUUCAACCCACCCCUCCACUACUGCUCUGGGCUGGAGUGGGCGUACGAGAUGAAGCGCAUGCAGGACGAGAGUGACUCGGGCGGCGAAGCUUCCUUCAGCUCGUCCAACUAGUGAAAAGUUAUUUAUCCGCAGGGGAUUCUGCUGAUCUUUGGGUUAUGAGUGCUUGUUUUUAAUUAUGAAAUCCACCCUACCUAGCUUAUGUGCCGAGCCUGCGAGGAGCUACGUCCAAGUGAAAGCAGGCUGAUGCUGGUAUUGUAUGUGUAUACAAGAAUAAACACGGUGCCGUCACGAGGUCCUGGAGUUGCUGCUGAGCUGCCCUGUAGUUUACCUGGUAUAUUCUGGUACAUCGGUGACCAGGCUGCAGUGACCUCAGAUUGGAAUAUCCGUCUCUAUCAAGGAACAUCCUUUGUAAACAUACGUUGUCGAACCUUUGCUUUGUUUGCCGUACAAGUAUUGUACAUCUGAUUGGUUUGUUUGGAACACAUGUUUUUUUUGUCUGAAGCUAUUGUUGUGUUUAUUUG